rnacentral:lncRNA from 1 species
UUUCCUUUUCCCUUACUCUAAGACAAUUAGGGACAAGAGGGUGCGAGCUUGCAGGACGAAGGCCGCCAGCUGAAGUCUGAAGGACUCUGUCAGGACAACGACAGCGAUGCUGGCCUCCCAAAGAGCAGUUUCCUGUGGUGUUCCCACAUCCCACAUCCUGAAACUCUCCAUGGCCUUGUAACUAUGGCUGCAAUUGGUGUCUACCUCUCCAGGAGAGAUCGUCCACUCGUUUCUGAGUGGGGCUCGCUAUCCCAGGCAGGACCAGCCUUCAAGUCCCCUGAGAACGCGGCUGGUGGCACCGUUGAUCCGGCACUGAUUAGUUAGAAUAUGAUUAUCAUUAUGCAGACAUAACAACAUUUUAAUAUCAAGACUACAGAGGGAAGACUUGCUUACAGAGUCCUACAAGGAUCUAUCCAUAGUUCUUCAAAAACUUUGUUUUAUUUUGACAAGAAAUUGACCCAAUCUCACGGAAAUAAGAUGUUUUCUCCAGAUUUUUGGAUCGUCUUCUUUCAGUAAGUUGCUGAAACUUUAUCAAAAUCACAUUUCAAGGACAGCAGGCGGGGUGUGAGGUCCCACC